UUGAUCCAAAAAUCAGAUUUUCUAGGUAUUUCAGCCCUUAGGAAGGUGAUAAUAACGUGGAGAAUUCAUUUGGAGCAACAAGAACAAGUAUUAGUUCAUUUCACAAAUUCUAGCUAAGUGGAAAAAGCCAACUUGUUAAGACCUUGGGGAGCCCGAGGCGUAGAUUGGAAUUUACUUUAGAUUGGCUAUCUUGGAGUGCGUACGAGGUACCGACGACAGGUUUGCUGAUCCGUCCGUCUAGGAUAUCUUUUCUGCCAUUUGGAGCGCUCUUUUAUUCAGAGCCCAUCUUUUGGUACAGUCUGUCACUACUGUAUAUAUAUAUAUUCUCGUUCAUGGGUACGGC